GAUGAACGCUGGCGGCGUGCUUAACACAUGCAAGUCGAACGGAAAGGCCGAAGCUUGCUUCGGUACUCGAGUGGCGAACGGGUGAGUAACACGUGGGUGAUCUGCCCUGUACUUCGGGACAAGCUUGGGAAACUGGGUCUAAUACCGGAUAUGACGAUCUCUUGGAUGGGGUUGUGGAAAGCUUUUGCGGUAUGGGAUGAGCUCGCGGCCUAUCAGCUUGUUGGUGGGGUAAUGGCCUACCAAGGCGUCGACGGGUAGCCGGCCUGAGAGGGUGUACGGCCACAUUGGGACUGAGAUACGGCCCAGACUCCUACGGGAGGCAGCAGUGGGGAAUAUUGCACAAUGGGCGCAAGCCUGAUGCAGCGACGCCGCGUGGGGGAUGACGGCCUUCGGGUUGUAAACUCCUUUCGCAAUCGACGAAGCCUUUUGGUGACGGUAGGUUGAGAAGAAGCACCGGCUAACUACGUG
rnacentral:rRNA from 1 species